GAAACUGCGAAUGGCUCAUUAAAUCAGUUAUCGUUUUUUUUUUUGUACCUUACUACAUGGAUGACCGUGGUAAUUCUAGAGCUAAUACAUGCUAAAAACCUCGACUUCGGAAGGGGUGUAUUUAUUAGAUAAAAAACCAAUGCCCUUCGGGGCUCCUUGGUGAAUCAUAAUAACUUAACGAAUCGCAUGGCCUUGCGCCGGCGAUGGUGCAUUCAAAUUUCUGCCCUAUCAACUUUCGAUGGUAGGAUAGUGGCCUACCAUGGUAUCAACGGGUAACGGGGAAUUAGGGUUCGACUCCGGAGAGGGAGCCUGAGAAACGGCUACCACAUCCAAGGAAGGCAGCAGGCGCGCAAAUUACCCAAUCCCGACACGGGGAGGUAGUGACAAUAAAUACUGAUACAGGGCUCUUUUGGGUCUUGUAAUUGGAAUGAGUACAAUUUAAAUCCCUUAACGAGGAACAAUUGGAGGGCAAGUCUGGUGCCAGCAGCCGCGGUAAUUCCAGCUCCAAUAGCGUAUAUUAAAGUUGUUGCAGUUAAAAAGCUCGUAGUUGAACCUUGGGCCUGGCUGGCCGGUCCGCCUCACCGCGUGUACUGGUCCGGCCGGGCCUUUCCUUCUGGGGAACCUCAUGCCCUUCACUGGGCGUGUUGGGGAACAGGACUUUUACUUUGAAAAAAUUAGAGUGUUCAAAGCAGGCCUUUGCUCGAAUACAUUAGCAUGGAAUAAUAGAAUAGGACGUGUGGUUCUAUUUUGUUGGUUUCUAGGACCGCCGUAAUGAUUAAUAGGGAUAGUCGGGGGCAUCAGUAUUCAAUCGUCAGAGGUGAAAUUCUUGGAUUGAUUGAAGACUAACUACUGCGAAAGCAUUUGCCAAGGAUGUUUCAUUAAUCAGUGAACGAAAGUUAGGGGAUCGAAGACGAUCAGAUACCGUCGUAGUCUUAACCAUAAACUAUGCCGACUAGGGAUCGGACGGUGUUAGUAUUUUGACCCGUUCGGCACCUUACGAGAAAUCAAAGUUUUUGGGUUCUGGGGGGAGUAUGGUCGCAAGGCUGAAACUUAAAGAAAUUGACGGAAGGGCACCACCAGGCGUGAGCCUGCGGCUUAAUUUGACUCCCCACGGGGAAACUCACCAGGUCCAGACACAAUAAGGAUUGACAGAUUGAGAGCUCUUUCUUGAUUUUGUGGGUGGUGGUGCAUGGCCGUUCUUAGUUGGUGGAGUGAUUUGUCUGCUUAAUUGCGAUAACGAACGAGACCUUACCCCGCUAAAUAGCCAGGCCCCCCCCCACGUCGCCGGCUUCUUAGCAGGGACUAUCGGCUCAAGCCGAUGGAAGUUUGAGGCAACACACAGGUCUGUGAUGCCC
rnacentral:rRNA from 1 species